rnacentral:piRNA from 1 species
CAUGUUGAUCUCUUUGUGCCC